GCAUAUUUAAAAACCCAAAAAAAAAAAAAAAAAAAAAAAAAAACAAUCAAUUGUACAAUAACACUUCAAUUUGGUUUUUCAAAUGAUUCCAAACAUCAGCAUUUCCUGUUCGCAAAGUUUGACUUUGACGGAUUUUGCUCUUUUUUGGUCAGCAGCAAUGAAGUCCU
rnacentral:ribozyme from 11 species